rnacentral:rRNA from 1 species
AAGCGGUAAAAGCUCAAAUUUGAAAUCUGGUACUUUCAGUGCCCGAGUUGUAAUUUGUAGAAUUUGUCUUNGAUUAGGUCCUGUCUAUGUUCCUUGGAACAGGACGUCAUAGAGGGUGAGAAUCCCGUUUGGCGAGGAUACCUUUUCUCUGUAAGACUUUUUCGAAGAGUCGAGUUGUUUGGGAAUGCAGCUCAANAGUGGGUGGUAAAUUCCAUCUAAAGCUAAAUAUUGGCGAGAGACCGAUAGCGAACAAGUACAGUGAUGGANAAGAUGAAAAGAACUUUGNAAAAGAGAGUGAAAAAGUACGUGAAAUUGUUGAAAGGGAAGGGCAUUUGAUCAGACAUGGUGUUUUUUGCAUGCACUCGCCUCUCGUGGGCUUGGGCCUCUCAAAAAUUUCACUGGGCCAACAUCAAUUCUGGCAGCAGGAUAAAUCAUUAAGAAUGUAGCUACUUCGGUAGUGUUAUAGCUUUUUGGAAUACUGUUAGCCGGGAUUGAGGACUGCGCUUCGGCAAGGAUGUUGGCAUAAU